CUCCUCCAUUUCCCGUUUCUCCCAAAGGAUUUGCCACCUUUCUUUGGAUUUUCCAGGGCUCAAGCCUAAGAGCUCCUUUCAGAGGAAAUGAGCAAAAGAUCUGAGAUUUGCAGCCUGUGGCCACACAGAGAGAUUUGAUAUGGAGAGACAAGGCGAGAAGCGAUCUGGUAAAAGAGGGAGGGAGGAGGCUGUCAUUGUUGGGUCAGAACAGUUGAUCAGCCUCAAGGCCUUCAGCUGCAAGCUGUGAAGGAGUUGCAUCAUUGGAAUUGCUGCCAGGGCAAAGAGGCACAAGAGAAAAAGGAUG